CCUACGGGAGGCAGCAGUGGGGAAUAUUGGGCAAUGGGCGCAAGCCUGACCCAGCAACGCCGCGUGAAGGAAGAAGGCUUUCGGGUUGUAAACUUCUUUUAUGCGGGACGAAAGAAAUGACGGUACCUCAUGAAUAAGCCACGGCUAACUACGUGCCAGCAGCCGCGGUAAUACGUAGGUGGCAAGCGUUAUCCGGAUUUACUGGGUGUAAAGGGCGUGUAGGCGGGACUGCAAGUCAGAUGUGAAAAUUAUGGGCUCAACCCAUGACCUGCAGUUGAAACUGUAGUUCUUGAGUGCUGGAGAGGCAGGCGGAAUUCCGGGUGUAGCGGUGAAAUGCGUAGAUAUACCGAAGAACACCAGUUGCGAAGGCAGCCUGCUGGAGAGUAACUGACGCUGAGGCGCGAAAGCGUGGGGAGCGAACAGGAUUAGAUACCCGGGUAGUC
rnacentral:rRNA from 1 species